UACGUAGGGUGCAAGCGUUAAUCGGAAUUACUGGGCGUAAAGCGUGCGCAGGCGGCGAUGUAAGUCAGGUGUGAAAUCCCCGGGCUUAACCUGGGAACUGCAUUUGUGACUGCAUCGCUGGAGUGCGGCAGAGGGGGAUGGAAUUCCGCGUGUAGCAGUGAAAUGCGUAGAUAUGCGGAGGAACACCGAUGGCGAAGGCAAUCCCCUGGGCCUGCACUGACGCUCAUGCACGAAAGCGUGGGGAGCAAACAGG
rnacentral:rRNA from 1 species